UACGUAGGGUGCAAGCGUUGUCCGGAAUUAUUGGGCGUAAAGAGCUCGUAGGCGGCUUGUCGCGUCGGCUGUGAAAACCCGUGGCUCAACCAUGUGGUCUGCAGUCGAUACGGGCAGGCUAGAAUUCGGUAGGGGAGACUGGAAUUCCUGGUGGUAGCGGUGAAAUGCGCAGAUAUCAGGAGGAACACCGGUGGCGAAGGCGGCAUUCUGGACCGAUAUUGACGCUGAGGAGCGAAAGCCAGGGGAGCAACGGG
rnacentral:rRNA from 1 species